CUACCCCGGGGAGGGAGGCAGCAGGGGAGAGCCGGCAAACAGAAAGGCGGCUGUGGGGUGAUGUGAGCUGUCAUGAGAGGAGCUGGGGGGGGGCGUGGACGGGGCCUCGGAAGGAGACAGCGAGCCAAGGCCUGGAAGACGAGGCUGGCGCAAGCCCCAAGUCCCAGAGACGGGACGGAGCAGGGGUGAUUGGGAGAGGAGCCAAGUGAUCUCCCGUACUUGCCAGAUUCCUGCCUCAGGACCUUCGCGUACGCCGCUCACCGAGGCUGGAACCAUUCAACCCCUUCUCCUGCAACUGGCCAACUCCUAUUCAGCUCUGAGGUCCUGUCUUCAAUGUCACCUCCCCAGGGAAGCCCCCCACACCGCUCCUCAAGCCGUGUGCUCUCACAGCAUCUCCAGUGACUGUUCUCUGUAGAACCAACCACAAGCCACCAUAUUCAACAAGUGUCUGGGGCCCUGCUUGCUUGGCAGCAGUCUCCAUUGGACCUCCCGCCCUGAGGGUGUCUCCCUUGUUCACGCUGUUCUCCCCACACCCAGGUGUCCGUGCUCAGACCCGCUCAUCGCUGAGUGGAGGCGUGUGUGCUAACGGCAGUGGCCGGGACACGGCAGCCAGUGUACGUGAAGCAUGAGUGGGAGGCAUCCUGGGGCUCAUAACUGUGGGGGUUGAAACGUGUGACCAGUAGCCCUUAGAUAUUUACACGGACUCCUCUCCAGCCUUGGAUGGUUCUCCCACACCCGGCCCAGCCCUCUCUAUCUUUCCCGCACUCCACCUGAGGGUCUCUUCUUGACCAAGCUCAAAAGCCACCUCCACCAGGAAGCCCUCCCUGGUGGAUCCCCACCAACUACUGCCUCCUCAUGAGGGGUCCUUGACGCAGCCUUCCCUCCUUUCCUAUUUCCGCGUGCCUGCCACCUCUCUGUCCCCAGCUCCCAGCUCAAGGUCCCACACAGCGGGUUCCACCGAACACCUAUGUGUGUAUCUGCCCCCAUGCCCCCAACCACACCCAAGCUUCUGGUAACAAGGCCCCUGGCUCUUCGUCCAGCCCUCUCCCCGGGUAGCCCGUGGUCCAGUGCUCCCUCAGUGCCGUCUUUGCUGGGGCCAGAUCUCAGGGUUCA
rnacentral:lncRNA from 1 species